rnacentral:rRNA from 1 species
GAUAAACGCUGGCGGCGUGCAUGAGACAUGCAAGUCGAACGAAGGAUCGGGCUUGCUCGAUCCUUAGUGGCGGACGGUUGCGUAACGCGUAGGUGUCCUACCCCGAAGUGGGGAAUAACUGCCCGAAAGGGUGGCUAAUACCGCAUGUGGUCGCACGUUCAUUCGUGUGAGUAAAGCCGCAAGGCGCUUCGGGAGGGGCCUGCGUCCGAUUAGCCCGUUGGUGGGGUAAUGGCUUACCAAGGCGACGAUCGGUAGGUGGUCUGAGAGGACGAUCACCCAGACUGGGACUGAGACACAGCCCAGACUCCUACGGGAGGCGGCAGUCGGGAAUUUUGCUCAAUGGGGGAAACCCUGAAGCAGCAACGCCGCGUGAGGGAUGAAGGCCUUCGGGUAGUAAACCUCUUUUGUCAGGGACGAUGAUGACGGUACCUGGCGAAUAAGCCACGGCUAACUACGUG